AAAUUUAAAAAAAAAAGAAAUAAGCCUGUAUAAGAAUGAGCAGAUUUAAGGGUUAUAAUUGGUUCUCAUAAGCUCAAUUCAGGAGACCUGGGGGAAGUGAUCUUCAUCUUCCAACAUGUACUAAGGCACAGCCUGAGAGAGAGAGAGAGAGAGAGAGAGAGAGAGAGAGAGAGAGAGAGACAGGGAGGGUUAGUUGAGUUGAUCAGUGGAAACAGGGCCAACUAGAGUAGAUACUGAUGAAUCAAGGAAAUGUGUGAGAGAAAAGACAAAGCAUAGAAAACGCCAGAGGUUAGCUAAAUUGAAUUUGGGGACAAUGAGAUCAGGGCUCUCCUGUUGACCGAAAGCCUUACCUCCUGGGUUCAUUGGAGCAGGAUUUGCAAAAACAAACUGCAGAAAAGCCUUUUCUUUGGCCAGAAUUCUUAGUAGGCAGUCAUGUGGGGGUAAUGCCUCCCUUGUCUGCUCCCACUCCCUCCUCGCGUUCAGCCCCUCUGACUUCUGCCUGAACGGAGAGCUCGGUGAAGUCAGUGGGGUCGGGGAGAGGGAGCCUCACUCGUAGUGGCUCCUCUGUUCUGACAAAGGCCCUGGUGUCUUACCUUUCCCUGCAUGGAAGGAGGCAGGAAGGGAGCGGGGAGUGAUUGAUGCCAGGCACUGUGCUAGGUGAUUUCUCCUUCAACAGCUAACUUAACUCUUAAAAUGCCCCCAUGAGAUGGGAAUUAUCAACCCCACUUUCACAGAAUAAGGAGCCGAGGAGAAUAAUCUACACGAUAUUAAGCCUCAGGAAGGUUGAGGACGUUGCAGUAACUUCAUAGCUACUCUGCGGUGCACUGGAGAUUUGUUUCCACAUCGGCCCCACUGUGGGAGCUGACUCCUCAGUGGUUUUGAACCCUAUUGCACAAGGUCCAAUGUCCUGAAUUAUGACAGUCAGGUACUCGGUGAUAAACGACAUCCAGGUCUCGCAGGACGAAGGAGAGGGAAGGAGAGACCUUGAUUCUGUCUGCCUCAGCUCACUAGCACAUUCUGGUGUGGAGCCUUCCAUUUUCAGCUGGCUGGCAUGUGUCAACUCUGGGGACCACCUUGGGAGCCACAAGAUGAUAGGAGCCCAGGCACUUGAAUCACACCGAGGAGGAGAGCUGUCCAGCCAGAAGUAUCAGCCUUGGACCGUUACAGAUCAAGAUAGAACCUUUGAGUAUGUAAAGCUGCUAUGAUGUGGGGAUCUUCCUGUGAGAGCAGCCAGCACUCUCUUAGCCAAUUUUCCAGAGCCUUGGUUCUGCUCACCUUCCCAGAGAGCGUGAUGUGAACCCCAAAGCACCAGACCCAGGAGAAUGAAAAGGAGGCUUCCAGAGAGGCAGGCCUACCUACUUCUGAGCCUUCAGGACUUUUCUUUCCUGCAAUUUGUGUUCCACCUCCAGGAAGUGUGGAGGGACCUUGGAAACCAUUUUCUUUAUAUGACUUAGAGAGCAGAAUUCAGUUGUGGCACCAAGAACAUCCCUCACUGAAGGGUAAACUCAUAAAGUGAAACAUUUGUUUUGAGACUGAUUGUGGGAAGAGACCAAAGUAAUUAGCCAAAAAGAGUGAACUAUAGGAUUUUUAUGUAGUUUUGUUGCUGUAAAUAAGAAGAAGGCAAAACAACCAUUGCCUGCCAGAAAUCCUCAAAAGCUUGAUUUUGUGAAUACAGAAGAGAAAAGAAUGCACCAUGAGAUGGACCAGAGCUAUCAGUCCCAUAAAGGCAGGAAUCAACACUAACUCAGACCUGUAACCAACAGCCUGUGAUCAAGCUGGAAUCCAUUCUUAAGAGACUUGAUCUUCAAUCACUGGGCGUCUCAGAACUGGCUCCAGCUUGGAACUUGGGCAACUGAUCAUGAGUUUCAACUGGGACCUCAGGUGACUGGAAACUCUGUGACAGCCUGUGGGUUCACCCUGGACACCUGGCACUCAGAAGAUAGUGGAUUUUUAUUGAAGGAGUCAAUGAGUUCCGUUUAUGAAAUUGUAAUUUUGUUCCCUGUUACUGGCCAUUAAGCAAUUGGUUUGCUUUUGAAUUACUAUUACCAAAGUAUCAAAUGUAUAUCUACAUCUACAUCUAUAUCUAUAUACUCCUGUUUAUAGCAGCAUUAUUUGCAAUAGCCAAAAGGUGGAAGUGACCCACCAGUGUCGACCCACCAGUGAACACCACUGACAGAUGAAUGGAUAAAAUUACGGUUAUACAAACAAUGGAAUGUCAUCAACCUGAAAGGGAAAGACCAUGUGACAUGUCCUUGGAUAACCUUGAGCACAUUUGGAUGGGCCAAAUAGGACAAAUAUCGUCCUAUUCCACCUGAUACGAGGCACUUAUAUUUAUAGAGACAGCGAGGGGGAGUGAAGAAUGGGGAUUCGGUGUUUCAGUUUCAGUUUGGGAAGACGAGAAAGUUCUGGAGACGGAUGAUGGUGAUGGUUGCACCGUAACGUGAAUGUGUUUAAUGCCACUGAACAUCACACUUAAAAAUGGUUGAGAUGGUUAAAUUUUGCGUUAUGUGUAUUUUACCAUAGUUUUAAAAACUAAAAUUAAAAAAUACAUCAAAAAGUGUUAAGUGUUUAUUACUCGUGGAUGCUUUGGGUAUUGUGGAAAAACAGUGUAUUCUGUGUAAAUGUUAAUGUGUAAGUACUGAGAAUGUUGGUCACACACUGAAUGAAAGUUUCGUAUUCUGGCUGAUUUGGGUGGAGGUUUCCUCUCUUCCCUUGUCCGAUCGGGGAGGCUCUCCGUAGAGCCCCAUGUGUGACGCACUACAUACUGACCACAGACCACA